GGCCUUGCUCUUAUGUCAUCUGACUAAAGGUUUCAUAGACCAAAGAUAACCAUCCAACUUGUUGGAAUACUGAAACAAUUGCUGCCUGCUGUCCACACACCACAUAAAAUAUGUGGAUUUCGUAAAUUCUGCAAAAAAGGUUUGGAAGCUGAUCAAUCAAUACUGGAACUCCCUCUUCUCCAGAAGAGACAUCCAGGCCUCCAUGCAGAGGAAUGUGUGGAUGGACAUAUAUUUAAGGAAGACACUAAACCAGAAACUACUACAUUACACCCUCUUAGAAGACUUCUAAGAUUGUUGUCAUGCCUACCACAUUCAGAUGAUGUGUAUUGUUGAUUGUGAUUUCAUGUUUGGACCUGAUGAAGGAGUUUGAAGUCUCCAGAGCAGCAAAGAGAGUGGGGAGUAGAACUCAUCAUCUUUAGGUCACUCAUCAUCG
rnacentral:lncRNA from 1 species